AUUGAACGCUGGCGGCAGGCCUAACACAUGCAAGUCGAGCGGAUGAGUGGAGCUUGCUCCAUGAUUCAGCGGCGGACGGGUGAGUAAUGCCUAGGAAUCUGCCCGGUAGUGGGGGACAACGUUUCGAAAGGAACGCUAAUACCGCAUACGUCCUACGGGAGAAAGCAGGGGACCUUCGGGCCUUGCGCUAUCAGAUGAGCCUAGGUCGGAUUAGCUAGUUGGUGGGGUAAAGGCCUACCAAGGCGACGAUCCGUAACUGGUCUGAGAGGAUGAUCAGUCACACUGGAACUGAGACACGGUCCAGACUCCUACGGGAGGCAGCAGUGGGGAAUAUUGGACAAUGGGCGAAAGCCUGAUCCAGCCAUGCCGCGUGUGUGAAGAAGGUCUUCGGAUUGUAAAGCACUUUAAGUUGGGAGGAAGGGCAGUAAGUUAAUACCUUGCUGUUUUGACGUUACCAACAGAAUAAGCACCGGCUAACUUCGUGCCAGCAGCCGCCGUAAUAC
rnacentral:rRNA from 1 species